UAACGCGUGGGAAUCUGCCCUGGAGUGGGGGAUAACCGAGAGAAAUUUCGGCUAAUACCGCAUACGUCCUGAGGGAGAAAGAUUUAUUGCUCUAGGAGGGGCCCGCGUCGGAUUAGCUUGUUGGCGGGGUAACGGCCCACCAAGGCUAUGAUCCGUAGCUGGUCUGAGAGGAUGAUCAGCCACACUGGGACUGAGACACGGCCCAGACUCCUACGGGAGGCAGCAGUGGGGAUUAUUGGACAAUGGGCGCAAGCCUGAUCCAGCAAUGCCGCGUCAGUGAUGAAGGCCUUAGGGUUGU
rnacentral:rRNA from 1 species